UAGCCAACACACUAUGAAUCA
rnacentral:piRNA from 1 species